rnacentral:rRNA from 1 species
AGUGGCGAAAGGGCGAGGAAUAAGUAACUAACGUGCCUUCAGGUGAGGGAUAGCUCAGGGAAACUUGUGGUAAUACCUCAUAAUCCCGUAGGGUCGUAUGGCCUGCCGGGCAAAGGCUUGCUGCCUGAAGAUCGGGUUACUUCCUAUCAGCUAGUUGGUGAGGUAACGGCUCACCAAGGCGAAGACGGGUAGCUGGUGUGAGAGCACGACCAGCCGCAUCGGGACUGAGACACUGCCCGGACUCCUACGGGAGGCUGCAGUAACGAAUAUUCCGCAAUGCGCGAAAGCGUGACGGAGCAAUGCCGCGUGUGGGAUGAAGCAUCUAGGUGUGUAAACCACUGUCAGGGUUUAGGAAAAAAAUGACCAGACCCAAAGGAAGAGCCGGCUAACUCUGUGCCAGCAGCCGCGGUAAUACAGAGGGCUCGAGCGUUAAUCGGAAUCACUGGGCUUAAAGGGUCCGCAGGCGGAUUGGAAAGUAUCUUGUGAAAUACCAUGGCUCAACCAUGGAAUUGCUCGGUAAACUCCCAAUCUUGAACACGGUAGGGGCCAUCGGAACUCUAGGUGGAGCGGUGAAAUGCGUAGAUAUCUAGAGGAACGCCAGAGGCGAAGGCGGAUGGCUGGGCCGUUGUUGACGCUCAGGGACGAAAGCGUGGGUAGCGAACGGGAUUAGAUACCCCGGUAGUCCACGCCCUAAACGAUGUGCACUAGA